UCCCUGGUGGUCUAGUGUUUAAGACUCCCUGCUUCCAAUGCAGGGGGCAUGGGUUCGAUCCCUGGUCAGGGAA
rfam:TPA: Bos taurus chromosome 5, whole genome shotgun sequence.